rnacentral:rRNA from 1 species
AACGAACGCUGGCGGCAGGCUUAACACAUGCAAGUCGAACGCCCCGCAAGGGGAGUGGCAGACGGGUGAGUAACGCGUGGGAAUCUACCCAGAUCUUCGGAACAACACAGGGAAACUUGUGCUAAUACCGGAUACGCCCUACGGGGGAAAGAUUUAUCGGUUCUGGAUGAGCCCGCGUUGGAUUAGCUAGUUGGUGAGGUAAUGGCUCACCAAGGCGACGAUCCAUAGCUGGUCUGAGAGGAUGAUCAGCCACACUGGGACUGAGACACGGCCCAGACUCCUACGGGAGGCAGCAGUGGGGAAUAUUGGACAAUGGGCGAAAGCCUGAUCCAGCCAUGCCGCGUGAGUGAUGAAGGCCUUAGGGUUGUAAAGCUCUUUUAGUGGGGAAGAUAAUGACGGUACCCACAGAAAAAGCCCCGGCUAACUUCGUGCCAGCCGCCGCGGUAA